UACAGAGGGUGCGAGCGUUACUCGGAAUUACUGGGCGUAAAGCGCGCGUAGGCGGCUUUGCAAGUCGAGUGUGAAAUCCCCAGGCUCAACCUGGGAACUGCAUUCGAGACUGCAUAGCUAGAGUAUGGGAGAGGGAAGUGGAAUUUCAGGUGUAGCGGUGAAAUGCGUAGAUAUCUGAAGGAACAUCAGUGGCGAAAGCGACUUCCUGGACCAGUACCGACGUUCAGGCACGAAAGCGUGGGGAGCAAACAGG
rnacentral:rRNA from 1 species